rnacentral:lncRNA from 1 species
CUCGAGUCAGGAGACGCGGCUUCAUUCUGCAUCCCUUCGCACGCAGUUCUUAGAGACCCACCUCUAAGGAACACAUGGAAACCAGAGCGGGUGGCUUCCUGGGGCGGGGCAUCAACUGAGCUGCGACCUUCGCUUGCUUUCUCUGUGGAUCCCUCCUCCAGGGGAAGGUCAGCUGCCACUGGACGAAGAUACACAGCAGCCCCAGGGCAGCCUUGGGGUGACUGAGGCUCUGGUUUUGAGACAAGGUCUCACUACCUGCCUUGAAUUUUGAGAUCCUCCUGCUUCAGCCUCCUGAGUGCUGGGAUUACAGGAAAGUGACACCAUUCCUAGCUGAUGGGGACAACGCCCACCUCCUGGGUUACUGUUAAGACGAGGACUAUGACCACACGGGUCACACCAAACACAAUACUUGGCCCAGCUGCUCCCCCUGCCUCGCCGCAGAAAUCGCCUGUCCCGUGCAUGAAGAGCACCUCAUCAGCAAACUCUGACCCAAGCACUCAGAAUAAGCCUUCUUUGUUCAGGUGCUGAGGAUCUCAGCUCCGUCUUGAAUUUUGUAACUACAGGAAUAAAUGUUUAAAGUACCUGGGUGUGGUUUGCUAACACAAUUAAAAAAUUUUUUGAGGGGGCAACCCACUUUCUAGUCCCUUCUGUCUCUUAGACAGCAGCUUUCUCUCAGUACAAUUUUCCUCUUAAACUGAAAAAAAAAAAAAAAGAAAUUUUUUUUUGAGACAGGGUCUCACUAUGCUGUCCAGGCUGGCCUCAAACUUUCCAUCCUCCUGGCUCAGCCUCUCGUCACUGGGACUGCAGGAAUACACCACCAGGCCUGGCAACCAACACACUGGGACAGUAUCUGUCACAGGAUAAACUCAAUAUUAAGUUUAUUAAAUCAAUGAC